CAGCAGCCGCGGUAAUACGUAGGGUGCAAGCGUUAAUCGGAAUUACUGGGCGUAAAGCGUGCGCAGGCGGUCCGCUAAGACAGAUGUGAAAUCCCCGGGCUUAACCUGGGAACUGCAUUUGUGACUGGCGGGCUAGAGUAUGGCAGAGGGGGGUAGAAUUCCACGUGUAGCAGUGAAAUGCGUAGAGAUGUGGAGGAAUACCGAUGGCGAAGGCAGCCCCCUGGGCCAAUACUGACGCUCAUGCACGAAAGCGUGGGGAGCAAAUGGGAUUAGAUACCCGCGUAGUCCCUGUCUCUUAUAC
rnacentral:rRNA from 1 species